UUGUUAAGUCAGAUGUGAAAUCCCCGGGCUCAACCUGGGAACUGCAUCUGAUACUGGCAAGCUUGAGUCUCGUAGAGGGGGGUAGAAUUCCAGGUGUAGCGGUGAAAUGCGUAGAGAUCUGGAGGAAUACCGGUGGCGAAGGCGGCCCCCUGGACGAAGACUGACGCUCAGGUGCGAAAGCGUGGGGAGCAAACAGGAUUAGAUACCCUGGUAGUCCACGCCGUAAACGAUGUCGACUUGGAGGUUGUGCCCUUGAGGCGUGGCUUCCGGAGCUAACGCGUUAAGUCGACCGCCUGGGGAGUACGGCCGCAAGGUUAAAACUCAAAUGAAUUGACGGGGGCCCGCACAAGCGGUGGAGCAUGUGGUUUAAUUCGAUGCAACGCGAAGAACCUUACCUGGUCUUGACAUCCACGGAAGUUUUCAGAGAUGAGAAUGUGCCUUCGGGAACCGUGAGACAGGUGCUGCAUGGCUGUCGUCAGCUCGUGUUGUGAAAUGUUGGGUUAAGUCCCGCAACGAGCGCAACCCUUAUCCUUUGUUGCCAGCGGUCCGGCCGGGAACUCAAAGGAGACUGCCAGUGAUAAACUGGAGGAAGGUGGGGAUGACGUCAAGUCAUCAUGGCCCUUACGACCAGGGCUACACACGUGCUACAAUGGCGCAUACAAAGAGAAGCGACCUCGCGAGAGCAAGCGGACCUCAUAAAGUGCGUCGUAGUCCGGAUUGGAGUCUGCAACUCGACUCCAUGAAGUCGGAAUCGCUAGUAAUCGUGGAUCAGAAUGCCACGGUGAAUACGUUCCCGGGCCUUGUACACACCGCCCGUCACACCAUGGGAGUGGGUUGCAAAAGAAGUAGGUAGCUUAACCUUCGGGAGGGCGCUUACCACUUUGUGAUUCAUGACUGGGGUGAAGUCGUAACAAGGUAACCGUAGGGGAACCUGCGGUUGGAUCACCUCCUUACCUUAAAGAAGC
rnacentral:rRNA from 1 species